GAUGAACGCUAGCUACAGGCUUAACACAUGCAAGUCGAGGGACCGGCGCACGGGUGAGUAACACGUAUCCAACCUGCCCUUUCCCCGGGGAUAGCCUUUCGACAGAAAGAUUAAUACCCGCACUAAAGGAUGGGGAUGCGUUCCAUUAGGUUGUUGGUGAUGUAACGGCUCACCAAGCCUUCGAUGGAUAGGGGUUCUGAGAGGAAGGUCCCCCACAUUGGAACUGAGACACGGUCCAAACUCCGACGGGAGGCAGCAGUGAGGAAUAUUGGUGAAGGGGCUGUAGCCUGAACCAGCCAAGUAGCGGGAAGGAUGAAUGCUUAUUGGUCGUAAAUUGCUUUUAGAGAAGAAUAGGUAUUAUAUGAAUAAGGAUCGGCUAACUCCGUGCCAGCAGCCGCGGUAAUUC
rnacentral:rRNA from 1 species